rnacentral:rRNA from 1 species
CAGCCGCCGCGGUAAUACGAAGGGGGCUAGCGUUGCUCGGAAUUACUGGGCGUAAAGGGAGCGUAGGCGGACAUUUAAGUCAGGGGUGAAAUCCCAGAGCUCAACUCUGGAACUGCCUUUGAUACUGGGUGUCUUGAGUGUGAUAGAGGUAUGUGGAACUCCGAGUGUAGAGGUGAAAUUCGUAGAUAUUCGGAAGGACACCAGUGGCGAAGGCGACAUACUGGAUCAUUACUGACGCUGAGGCUCGAAAGCGUGGGGAGCAAACAGGAUUAGAUACCCCAGUAGUCCCUGUCUCUUAUAA